rnacentral:rRNA from 1 species
UACGUAGGGUGCAAGCGUUAAUCGGAAUUACUGGGCGUAAAGCGUGCGCAGGCGGUUUGAUAAGCCAGAUGUGAAAUCCUCGAGUUUAACUUGGGAACUGCGUUUGGAACUGUUAGAUUAGAGUGUGUCAGAGGGGGGUGGAAUUCUGCGUGUAGCAGUGAAAUGUGUAGAGAUGCGGAGGAAUAUCGAUGGUGAAGGCAGUUCCCUGGGAUGACAUUGACGCUCAUGCACGAAAGCGUGGGGAGCAAACAGG